GGGCCGGUCGCGCUGUUAAAGGGAUACAGCAUGCGACCAGACUCCUGCUUACAAAGGCCCACCGGGUGGCCGUUAAUGCAUGGGCCACCGGGCGAGCCCCCCUGAGUAACUGGGCCCGGUGCAGCUGCGCCAUUUGCCAUGCAUUAAAGACGGCCCUGGAUGUAGGUAUUAGGCAGUAUGUUUGUAUGAAUGUAGGUAUUAGGCAGUAUGUGUGUAUG